rnacentral:rRNA from 1 species
UACGUAGGGGGCGAGCGUUGUCCGGAUUUAUUGGGCGUAAAGCGCGCGUAGGCGGCCCGGUAAGUCCGUUGUGAAAGUCAAAGGCUCAACCUUUGAACGCCGAUGGAUACUGCCGGGCUAGAGUCCGGAAGAGGCGAGUGGAAUUCCUGGUGUAGCGGUGGAAUGCGCAGAUAUCAGGAGGAACACCAAUAGCGAAGGCAGCUCGCUGGGACGGUACUGACGCUGAGACGCGAAAGCGUGGGGAGCGAACAGG